GCUCUGGCCGCUGGUGAAGGAGGGUGUGUGUCGCGCUGAUCCGGGGUGAGUGAGCAAAUGCAUACCUGUCUCAUUAGGCCUGCCAGACUCACCUGUCCCGGCAACACUGGAUUACCUGCCCCCUCCCCGCCCAGGUGAACUCUAUUUAAAGCCAGAUUCAAGUAGACUGAGUUAACUAUAAAGAGGAAGAGAACGACAUAGAGAGAAAGUGAGGAGGGUUUGAGAUAUAAUAAAAGAGAAAGAGAGGGAUAGAAAACAGAGAAGAAGAGAGCGAAAGGGAGAGAGAGAGAGAGAAAGGGAGGGAUGAAUAGUAAGUAAUAACUGAAUAAUCCAGAGAUAUAGAGAUAUAUGUGUACAGAUACAAGGGAAAAUACGAGAGAGAGAGAGAGAGAGAAACGGAAGAGAGAAAUAAAGAGAGAUAGAUAGAGAUAAAAGAGAAACUAAAGAGAUGCUGUAAAGAGACUGACAAAAACCCCAACGAACUCUUGCAAAACAUUCUCUUUGAAACUUAACAAAAAGAAAAGGAAAAGAGAAACGAAAUAAUAAAAAAAAAAACAGCAAAAAAAUCAAUAAAAACCCUAAAAGAAGUGAAUAUUAUGUGAACCUGACGAGAAGAAAACGAAGGUGAAAGUAAUGAAAAAUGUGAUAAUGAUGGAUAGAAAAAGAAGAAGUGAAGAGGAUGAUGAGAAGAAGGCCGGUGAAGCCGUGAACCAGCCAGCCUAGAAAGGUGAUGUAGAGGGAGGCAGCGAGCACGUCUACACACUCACACACACAAACACACACGCUGAUAUCCAGGCAGCCGCUAUCUUCCCUAUCUUUAAGGUGAGCGACACGUGUCCCUAGCGGUCUCGCCAGGCGUUAACGAGCACCGGAUGAGUAGAUGAAACACAGGUGCUCUGCGACCGCUAAUUAGUCCCGCAAUAACCAGGUAACAUGCCAACAGGAACAUCCACACACUCAUACACACGCAGGUACAAAGGAGAAAAAAGAAAAAAAAGGAGAGAUAAAUAGACAUGCAAACAUCGAGAUAGAAAGAUACACUGAUUGACAAACACCAAGAUAUUCAAAA